GACGGAGGGUGCUAGCGUUGUUCGGAAUCACUGGGCGUAAAGCGUGCGCAGGCGGCCUUGCAAGUCGGGCGUGAAAUCCCACGGCUCAACCGUGGAAGUGCACUCGAAACUGCUUGGCUAGAGUCUUGGAGAGGAAGGCGGAAUGCUUGGUGUAGAGGUGAAAUUCGUAGAUAUCAAGCGGAACACCGGUGGCGAAGGCGGCCUUCUGGACAAUGACUGACGCUAAAACACGAAAGCGUGGGGAGCAAACAGG
rnacentral:rRNA from 1 species